rnacentral:tRNA from 1 species
GCACUCGUAGCUCAAUUGGAUAGAGCGCUGCCCUCCGGAGGCAAAGGUUACAGGUUCAAAUCCUGUCGGGCGCACCA